AGAUGGCGACCGGCGCACGGGUGAGUAACACGUAUCCAACCUGCCGAUAACUCCGGAAUAGCCUUUCGAAAGAAAGAUUAAUACCGGAUGGCAUACGAAUAUCGCAUGAUAUUUUUAUUAAAGAAUUUCGGUUAUCGAUGGGGAUGCGUUCCAUUAGGCAGUUGGUGGGGUAAUGGCCCACCAAACCUUCGAUGGAUAGGGGUUCUGAGAGGAAGGUCCCCCACAUUGGAACUGAGACACGGUCCAAACUCCUACGGGAGGCAGCAUG
rnacentral:rRNA from 1 species